CUGGAACCUGAGAGCCCCGUCCGGGUGAGGCCCGGCCGGCGGAAAGCCCCUGCGCCUGUUUCCAGGGAGCCGGGCCAGGGCCCGAGCAGUGCUUAGUGCGCGCAUUCCCGUCAGGGGCGCGCCCCGGCUCGCCCUCUCCAGCGGGCAGUGGGUCCUGCUCCGGCCGGGCCCCAGGAGCGGGAGAGCCGGCGGGGAGGACGAGUGGUGGAGGCUGCGCAGUCAGGCGGUGCGGGAGAUGUCCUGGACCACGUCCCGCCGCGCGGGGAGCCUGUGGGAGCUGCAGAAGACAGCCCUGCCCUCCAGUAGCCGCUACGUGGUUCCUGUCUGUCCCCAAACUUGCCAAAACUCACUGCGUUCCCUCCUGUGUUCAGAGGAUGCUCGCAUUCUCCCUUCUGAAUGCUGCCACUCUCUAUAAGCCAACCCUCUGACUCAUAAUCCAUAUCAAGGAAACUAUCAAAGACUACUGGGGUCAAUGUCAAAAGGACUCAGGAGUUAACUUGAAGAGACUCCCUCUGGCCAUGGAUGGGACACAUUCAGCAUCAGUAAGCAUAAUAACUACAAAGGAUUGAAACACAUCAAAUGUGAAUUGUCUGUCGCAUUCUCCAUGAGCUCAUAAUGAUACUUUAAAAAAAAGAUAAGGUCACCAAUAGAGGAAGCUGGGUUUCUUUCAGGAUCUGGAGAGGAGGGCUCGGAGGAGGAGAGCAUCUUCCCCCUUCAGUUAUGACGCCCAAAUCCGCAACCCAAGGAUGUAUGAUAAGAAGAAAUAGAAAGCAAAAAAAGUUUUUUUCAAAACCCCUACCCAAAGCUGUAGUGGAGUAUCGCUGUGUUGACUUGUCAAACGCUGGAGCGCUCGUUGUUUACAACUGUUCUUGGGAAAGAUCGGAGCUCUGGCAUUACCCCAGAGAAUUCUGCAGAACACUGUGGCUUAAAUGAAAUGCACCAGAGCUGGGAUCGAGCGACGAUAAGCCCUAAUGUGACUCCUUGCACGAGCAUCAUGACAAGAAGCCAAGGCUAACCUGCUGGAGACAGAUGGCUCAGACAGCAGCCAGCAUCCACAGCAGACACUCAAGCGAGUCCACCGUAGACCAUCCAGCUUUGUCCGGUCACCAGACGGAGCAGCCAC
rnacentral:lncRNA from 1 species